rnacentral:rRNA from 1 species
GAACGCUGGCGGCGUGCCUAAUACAUGCAAGUCGAACGCACAGCGAAAGGUGCUUGCACCUUUCAAGUGAGUGGCGAACGGGUGAGUAACACGUGGAUAACCUACCUCAAGGUUGGGGAUAACAUUUGGAAACAGAUGCUAAUACCGAAUAAAACUUAGUAUCGCAUGAUACCAGGUUAAAAGGCGCUACGGCGUCACCUAGAGAUGGAUCCGCGGUGCAUUAGUUAGUUGGUGGGGUAAAGGCUUACCAAGACAAUGAUGCAUAGCCGAGUUGAGAGACUGAUCGGCCACAUUGGGACUGAGACACGGCCCAAACUCCUACGGGAGGCUGCAGUAGGGAAUCUUCCACAAUGGGCGAAAGCCUGAUGGAGCAACGCCGCGUGUGUGAUGAAGGCUUUCGGGUCGUAAAGCACUGUUGUAUGGGAAGAACAGCUAGAGUAGGGAAUGACUUUAGUUUGACGGUACCAUACCAGAAAGGGACGGCUAAAUACGUGCCAGCAGCCGCGGUAAUACGUAUGUCCCGAGCGUUAUCCGGAUUUAUUGGGCGUAAAGCGAGCGCAGACGGUUAAUUAAGUCUGAUGUGAAAGCCCGGAGCUCAACUCCGGAAAGGCAUUGGAAACUGGUUAACUUGAGUGCAGUAGAGGUAAGUGGAACUCCAUGUGUAGCGGUGGAAUGCGUAGAUAUAUGGAAGAACACCAGCGGCGAAGGCGGCUUACUGGACUGUAACUGACGUUGAGGCUCGAAAGUGUGGGUAGCAAACAGGAUUAGAUACCCUGGUAGUCCACACCGUAAACGAUGAACACUAGGUGUUAGGAGG